CACCUAUCCAUGUUCUCCACAGAUGCUGCCUGACCCGCUGAGUUACUCCAGCACUCUUGCCUUUUUGCAUUUGUAAAACCAGCAUCCACAGAGCCUUGUAUCUACUGCUUGAAGAGAUCUUUGUACCGUGACGCGGAGACUCGGAGAGAACUCAGCCACGUGUUUUUUUUAAUUACUUUAUUAAACGUCAAAGGUGAAGAGUUACAAA